CGUCUAUAUACGUAUAGCAUAUCAAUAAGCGGAGGAAAAGAAACUAACUAGGAUUCCCUCAGUAACGGCGAGUGAAGCGGGAAGAGCUCAAAUUUGAAAUCUUCAAGGUUUUACCUUGACGAAUUGUAGUUUAAAGAAGUGUUUUCUGUUGGAAUUUUGGUAAAAGUUCUUUGGAAAAAGACAUCAAAGAGGGUGAGAAUCCCGUAUUUGACCAUUAUUUCCAACUUUGUGAUACACUUUCAAAGAGUCGGAUUGUUUGGGAAUGCAGUCCAAAAUGGGUGGUAAAUUUCAUCUAAAGCUAAAUACUGGCGAGAGACCGAUAGCGAACAAGUACCGUGAGGGAAAGAUGAAAAGAACUUUGAAAAGAGAGUUAAACAGUACGUGAAAUUGUCAAAAGGGAAGCGUUUGACACCAGUGUUGUUUUCUCGAAAAUCAAUUAAAAAUGGCUUGAUUUUGUGUUGUAUUGACCUUAAAAGCUUUCUUCACUUUUUUCAUGUCUUUUUUAAUGCACUUUUCGUUUAACAAGUCAACAUCAAUUUCUUUUGUUGUAAAAGGGUCAUUGGAAGGUGGCUUUCUUUUCGGAGAAAGUGUUUAUAGCCUUUGACUUCUGCAAUCGGAGAGAUUGAGGUCUGCAGCGUAGAUCCUUCGGGGUUAGAUACGUUAGAUGCUAAGCUAUAGCUUUUCAUAGACAACUUGUUGACUAUGAUCAGUCAUGUAGCUUACUCGCUUAUGUCAUUUUACCUACGCUUAGGAUGUUGACGAUCAGCUGAGCGCG
rnacentral:rRNA from 1 species